AGAGUUUGAUCAUGGCUCAGGAUGAACGCUGGCGGCGUGCUUACACAUGCAAGUCGAACGAUGAACUGGUGCUUGCAUCGGGGAUUAGUGGCGAACGGGCGAGUAACACGUGAGUAACCUGCCCUUGACUCUGGGAUAAGCCUGGGAAACUGGGUCUAAUACCGGAUAUGACCUUCCAUCGCAUGGUGGUUGGUGGAAAGCUUUUGUGGUUUUGGAUGGACUCGCGGCCUAUCAGCUUGUUGGUGAGGUAAUGGCUUACCAAGGCGACGACGGGUAGCCGGCCUGAGAGGGUGACCGGCCACACUGGGACUGAGACACGGCCCAGACUCCUACGGGAGGCAGCAGUGGGGAAUAUUGCACAAUGGGCGCAAGCCUGAUGCAGCGACGCCGCGUGAGGGAUGACGGCCUUCGGGUUGUAAACCUCUUUCAGUAGGGAAGAAGCCGCAAGGUGACGGUACCUGCAGAAGAAGCGCCGGCUAACUACGUGCCAGCAGCCGCGGUAAUACGUAGGGCGCAAGCGUUAUCCGGAAUUAUUGGGCGUAAAGAGCUCGUAGGCGGUUUGUCGCGUCUGCCGUGAAAGUCCGGGGCUCAACUCCGGAUCUGCGGUGGGUACGGGCAGACUAGAGUGAUGUAGGGGAGACUGGAAUUCCUGGUGUAGCGGUGAAAUGCGCAGAUAUCAGGAGGAACACCGAUGGCGAAGGCAGGUCUCUGGGCAUUAACUGACGCUGAGGAGCGAAAGCAUGGGGAGCGAACAGGAUUAGAUACCCUGGUAGUCCAUGCC
rnacentral:rRNA from 1 species